UACGGGAGGCAGCAGCGGGGAAUAUUGCACAAUGGGCGAAAGCCUGAUGCAGCUAUGCCGCGUGUAUGAAGAAGGCCUUAGGGUUGUAAAGUACUUUCAUCGGGGAGGAAAAACAAAACUAAUAAUUUUAUUUCUUGACGUUACCCGAAAAAGAAGCACCGGCUAACUCCGUGCCAGCAGCCGCGGUAAUACGGAGGGUGCUAGCGUUAAUCAGAAUUACUGGGCGUAAAGAGCACGUAGGUGGUUUUUUUAAGUCAGAUGUGAAAUCCCUGGGCUUAACCUGGAACUGCAUUUUGAAACUGAAAUACUAGAGUAUCGUAGAGGGAGGUAGAAUUCUAGGUGUAGCGGUGAAAUGCGUAGAUAUCUGGAGGAAUACCUGUGGCGAAAGCGGCCUCCUAAACGAAUACUGACACUGAGGUGCGAAAGCGUGGGGAGCAAACAGGGAUUAGAUACC
rnacentral:rRNA from 1 species